rnacentral:snoRNA from 1 species
AUACAAUGAGGAAACCUAUGAAGUAACUUCUUGAAUUGCUCCCAAGCCUCAUAUAAAGACUCGUCAUCCAAUUGUUGGAAAGUUGUGAUCCCGUUCCUUAACUU